UACAGAGGUCUCAAGCGUUGUUCGGAUUCAUUGGGCGUAAAGGGUGCGUAGGCGGCGCGGUAAGUCGGGUGUGAAAUCUCGGAGCUUAACUCCGAAACUGCAUUCGAUACUGCCGUGCUUGAGGACUGGAGAGGAGACUGGAAUUUACGGUGUAGCGGUGAAAUGCGUAGAUAUCGUAAGGAAGACCAGUGGCGAAGGCGGGUCUCCGGGCAGUAACUGACGCUGAGGAGCGAAAGCGUGGGGAGCGAACAGG
rnacentral:rRNA from 1 species